CUACGGGAGGCAGCAGUAGGGAAUCUUCCACAAUGGGCGAAAGCCUGAUGGAGCAACGCCGCGUGUGUGAUGAAGGGUUUCGGCUCGUAAAACACUGUUGUAAGAGAAGAAUGACAUUGAGAGUAACUGUUCAAUGUGUGACGGUAUCUUACCAGAAAGGAACGGCUAAAUACGUGCCAGCAGCCGCGGUAAU
rnacentral:rRNA from 1 species